rnacentral:rRNA from 1 species
UACAGAGGGUGCGAGCGUUAAUCGGAUUUACUGGGCGUAAAGCGUGCGUAGGCGGCUGAUUAAGUCGGAUGUGAAAUCCCUGAGCUUAACUUGGGAAUUGCAUUCGAUACUGGUUAGCUAGAGUAUGGGAGAGGAUGGUAGAAUUCCAGGUGUAGCGGUGAAAUGCGUAGAGAUCUGGAGGAAUACCGAUGGCGAAGGCAGCCAUCUGGCCUAAUACUGACGCUGAGGUACGAAAGCAUGGGGAGCAAACAGG